rnacentral:tRNA from 1 species
GUAUUGGUGGUCUAGUAGUAUGAUGUCACCCUGCCACGGUGGCGCCCGGGUUCGAUUCCCGGCCAAUGAA